rnacentral:rRNA from 1 species
GAUGAACGCUGGCGGCGUGCCUAAUACAUGCAAGUCGAGCGAACGGACGAGAAGCUUGCUUCUCUGAUGUUAGCGGCGGACGGGUGAGUAACACGUGGAUAACCUACCUAUAAGACUGGGAUAACUUCGGGAAACCGGAGCUAAUACCGGAUGAUAUUUUGAACCGCAUGGUUCAAAAGUGAAAGACGGUCUUGCUGUCACUUAUAGAUGGAUCCGCGCUGCAUUAGCUAGUUGGUAAGGUAACGGCUUACCAAGGCAACGAUGCAUAGCCGACCUGAGAGGGUGAUCGGCCACACUGGAACUGAGACACGGUCCAGACUCCUACGGGAGGCAGCAGUAGGGAAUCUUCGGCAAUGGGCGAAAGCCUGACGGAGCAACGCCGCGUGAGUGAUGAAGGUCUUCGGAUCGUAAAACUCUGUUAUAGGGAAGAACAUAUGUGUAAGUAACUGUGCACAUCUUGACGGUACCUAAUCAGAAAGCCACGGCUAACUACGUG